AGUGAACGCUGGCGGUAGGCCUAACACAUGCCAGUCGAACGGCAGCACAGUAAGAGCUUGCUCUUACGGGUGGCGAGUGGCGGACGGGUGAGGAAUACAUCGGAAUCUACUUUUUCGUGGGGGAUAACGUAGGGAAACUUACGCUAAUACCGCAUACGACCUACGGGUGAAAGCAGGGGAUCUUCGGACCUUGCGCGAUUGAAUGAGCCGAGGUCGGAUUAGCUAGUUGGCGGGGUAAAGGCCCACCAAGGCGACGAUCCGUAGCUGGUCUGAGGGGAUGUACAGGGACAGUGGGAGUGAGCGGCGGUACAGAGUCCGAGAGGCGGCAGCGGUGGGGAAUGGUGGACGAUGGGGGGAAGCCUGCACAAGGGAUAGAGCGCGGGUGAAGAAGGGCUUCGGGUUGUAAGGCCGUUUUGUGGGGGAAGAACGGCAGCAGGAUAAGCGCCGGCUGUGCUGACGGUACCUAAAGAAGAAGCACCGGCUAACUUCGUG
rnacentral:rRNA from 1 species